GACGAACGCUGGCGGCGUGCUUAACACAUGCAAGUCGAACGGUGACGCUCCAGCUUGCUGGAGUGGAUCAGUGGCGAACGGGUGAGUAACACGUGAGCAACCUGCCCCUGACUCUGGAAUAAGCGCUGGAAACGGCGUCUACUACUGGAUACGAGACGGGUCCGCAUGGGCACUUUCUGGAAAGGUUUUCGGUUGGGGAUGGGGUCGCGGCAAAUCAGCUUGUUGGUGAGGUAAUGGCUCACCAAGGAGAGGACGGGUAGCCGGCCUGGGAGGGCGACCGGCCACACUGGGACAGGGACACGGCCCGGGCGCAUACGGGGAGCAGGAGUGGGGAAUAGUGCACAACGUGCGAAGGCCUGAUGGAGCGACGCCGCGUUGGAGAUGACGGCCGUCGGGUUGUAAACCUCUUUCGGCAGGAAAGAAGCGAAAGGGACGGUACCUGCAGAAGAAGCACGGCCUAACUAGGU
rnacentral:rRNA from 1 species